GAAGAUUUGGCUGAGCAUUACAGGAGUGGUUGGGGGAUCAUCACUAAUAAAUGUGACACAGCAAGCCUACGGUAGACCCUUUAUUCUGUGAAAUGAUUUCAAUUCAAGGAAUCUAUUACUGCAUUAUCCAUUCAUAUUAGAACACAUUAUCUCCUUUUAUAAAUGAACGAUUUCUAUUUUGUCCAUAUUGUCCAGUUUUCAUCCACAAUUCCAUUCCCAGCAUCUCCUCCUUAGAGAUGACUUCCAUAUCAAUCACACCAAAUGUCCUUUACCUGUAACAAAAGACAGAAUAACCUGGUCAUAUUUUGCCUUACCAUUCUAAAAGGAAGUAAGCAAACAUUACUUGAUCUACAGAAAUCCAUGCAAGCGCAUGUCACACUGUUAACGUUUAC